GUGUCGUCUUUCGCCUUGAUAACAAUGUACGUAGGGGUGUAAUAAAUGCUGACGGCAAGUUCCUUAAGUAGAGGCGACAAUGAGACUGAAAAACAAAUUGGGUUUGUGAAGAGAUGUGGAGAGACUGAGAAAGAGGGAAACCAAAAAUAAUAAAAGGAAGAUCCAUUACUUAAGCUCUUGUUGUGGGCGAUGAUCAAGAUCUCUAAUGGAGAUUUUUGUA
rnacentral:misc_RNA from 1 species